rnacentral:lncRNA from 13 species
CUUUUAAAGUUUUUAUUGGUAGGACAUGGUGGCUCAUGGCUGUAGUCUGAGGUGGGAGGCUGGGGGGAGGAUCGCUUGAACCUCAGAGGUUGAGGCUGUCGUGAGCCGUGUUGGCACCACUGCACCCCAGCCUGGACAGCACAGAGAGACCCUGUCUCUACAAAAAGUCCAAAUCGGCGGAGAGUGGUGAUGCGUGCUUACAAUCCCAGGCAUUCAGGAGGCUGAGCUGGGAGGAUCUCUUGAGCCUCUGAGGUUGAGGCUGCAGUGAGCCGAGAUCCUGCCUUUGUACACCAGCCCGGGCGACAGAGUGAGAGUCUGUCUCAGAAAAAAACAAAAAACUAACGAAGAAAAAUGUUCACAGUGAGUUUGCUUGUCACGUGACAAUUUUUUGACUACCCAGCCCCUGUUGAUACCAAAGGCAGAGAAGAAAACAGAGUAAAAUUCCUUCCUGAUGGAGCCGCAUUCCUGGGAAGAGAGGUCGGAACGCACGAGGACCAGACAGAUAAGAACACGUUUAGAAUCUCAGAUUGUAAUAAAAUGCCAAGGAGGAAAACAGAACAGGGGUGAGGAGUGUGACAGCCAGCCACAGAGGCCGGACUGGAGUUUCAGAGCAUUUGAGAACAUCUGAAUUACAAGGAAGGUACAAAUAUUGCCAUUCAGCCCCCACCCUGGAAACAUAACUUGCUCAGGUAUGUUUUCUUUUUUUGAGAUGGAGUUCCGUCACCCAGGCUGGAGCGCAAUGGCACGACAGUCAAUGGGACAAUCACGAUUUUGCUUGGUUUUGUUGCUGGUAACUUACACUAAAAGCCCCGUGGUUCUGCCUGGAUCCCCCUCCCGAAGCUUGGCUUGCUGCUGAUUCUCUGAUGUGAGAGCAGGUGGUUCCCGCCUCCCGGCUUGGAUGCCAGAGUGUCUAUGUGGCUCAGCUUGUGAGAUCCUGGAAAGCGUCCAUCAGUCUCUGUCCUCAUCCGGUUGGCUUAAGAUCUCAGGCUAAUCUGCCCAGCCCAGCAACCACUCCC